rnacentral:rRNA from 1 species
GGCGCAUGGCGGAUAUGUAUAACUGAAUUCCUAAUGAGGAUAAUCCGGGAAACUGGGGGUAAUACUCCAUAGUUCGUGCUGACUGGAAUGUUAUGCGAACGAAAGAUCCGUCGCUUCAGGAUGAGUCUGCGGCCGAUUAGGUAGUUGUUGGGGUAACGGCCCAACAAGCCUGUCAUCGGUACGGGUUGUGGGAGCAAGAGCCCGGAGAUGGAUUCUKAGACACGAAUCCAGGCCCUACGGGGCGCACAGGCGCGAAAACUUUACCAUGCGGGCAACCGUGAUAAGGAAACCCCGAGUGCCAGCACAGGCUGGCUGUCCGCCAGUGUAAAUWACUGGUGAAGAAAGGGCCGGGCAAGACCGGUGCCAGCCGCCGCGGUAAUACCGGCGGCUCGAGUGGUGGCCACUAUUACUGGGCUUAAHGGGUCCGUAGCUUGAUAUGCAAGUYUCUUGAGAHAUCCGCCAGCUUAACUUGUGGGCGUUCAGGGGAAACUGCAUUUCUAGGGACCGGGAGABGUGAGAGGUACUGCCGGGGUAGGACUGAAAUCCUGUAAUCCCGGUGGGACCACCUAUUGCGAAGGGAUCUCACCAGAHCGGGUCCGACAGUBAGGGGACGAMAGCUGKGGGGAGCAAACCGGAUUACAUACCCGGGGUAGUCCCAGCUGUAAACG